rnacentral:lncRNA from 1 species
CCCUAAUAUGACACAAUCUCUUGAGUGUUUUGCUCUAAAUUCCGAGUCACACUAUGUGGUGUAUUUUGUUUAUAAUUUUGAGUUUAGGACUUCUGGUGAAUCUAUAGUUGCUAAGACAGUAGCUGGCUAAUUUGAAGACAACAUGCUUUUGGUGUUAGGAUUUAUGACAUUAUCAGCACUGGCUAAUGGAUUGAAGAGCCACUGUAAUGUUACAGAGGCAGAAGUUCAGUAUUAUGGAGCUCUGGGAGGGACUGUCUAUCUCCGUCUGGUCACUGAUGACAUCGAAUAUAAUGAAAUCCGCUUAAUAAAAGAUCCCUCUGGAAAAUCUAUAGAACUUUUCAAAAGGAAAAACAAAACCAACUUCAUGAAUGAAGCCAUCAAAUCUAGAUCAGAAUUCUUUAUCAACAACGGGACAUUGAAGAUAUCAAAUAUAGAAAGGAGUGAUGCUGGUGAAUAUUCCUCAGAAACAUUCAGUUCAUCUGGAAUAUCCCUCAACUGCAUAAGAUUUCAACUGUCCAUUGAAGAAGGAGGCAAUGAAGUGGUCACAUGGUCUCUAGUAGCUGUAGUCCUGGUCCUUGCUGUGAUAGUGUCAGUUUUCUGGAUCCACUGGAGGAGGACACCGCCCCAGACAACAGAUGCUAAUAGAAGACAAGAACUGGAAUAUGCUGACAUCACUGUUGUGAAGAAGGGGAAUGUGAGGAAGGUUCCAGAGGAGGUGGAGUAUGGACAGCUUGUAGUGUUGGAGGGAUCCAGAUCAAACACAGUGAGAGACAGACCUACAGGGCAGGAGGACACUAUUUAUGCUGGAAUAAAGCUUGGACAGUGAAUGGGAGAUACUUUACUACAGGCUGGAGUUGCUACAUUUGUCACUUUAACAAUUGUUUUUCUCUACAUAUUCCAUCUUUGUUGUACUCAACAUUUAAUGAUGUGAAUAUUUCUUCACAUUCACAGUUUAUUCAUUUUGUUUACCCAAAUAAAGAACCCAACAACCAGACUGUCUACAUCUGUAAUUGUGU